rnacentral:lncRNA from 10 species
UUUCAAUAGAUCGCAGCGAGGGAGCUGCUCUGCUACGUACGAAACCCCGACCCAGAAGCAAGUCGUCUACGAAUGGUUUAGCGCCAGGUUCCCCACGAACGUGCGUUGCGUGACGGGCGAGAGGGCGGCCGCCUUUCCGGCCGCGCCCCGUUUCCCAGGACAAAGGGCACUCCGCACCGGACCCUGGUCCCAGCGCGGGGCGGGGCGGCCCGCCGGCGGGGACCGGCUAUCCGAGGCCGACCGAGGCCGACCGAGGCCGACCGAGGCCAUCCGAGGCCGACCGAGGCCAACCGAGGCGCCGCGGGGCUGCCGUAUCGUUCCGCCUGGGCGGGAUUCUGACUUAAGAGGCGUUCAGUCAUAAUCCCACAGAUGGUAGCUUCGCCCCAUUGGCUCCUCAG